CUGGUUAGUACUUGGAAGGGUGACCGCCUGGGAAUACCAG
rnacentral:rRNA from 10 species